AGAUAGUGAUCUAAGAAUCAGGACAAGAACUCUUGCCAGACAACAGAAUCGCAAGUCCAAUUGAAUUUGGACUUCCCGACCUCCAGAACAGUAAGAAACAAAUUCCUGCUUUUGAGCCACCCUGGCUGUGGGUUUUUGCUACAACACACAUAUUGACAACAAUGUCCUGAAAGAGCCUUGCCUGCAGACUUUCCAAGAUGGUGGCAUCAUCCGUUUGUACAGGCAUCUUUUAUUGGUCAGUCACUACUAUGCUUAUUCUGCAAGAAAAAAAAAAGUCACCUCUGAUUCUUCACUCCUUUGUGUGAAAUCCUUUAAAUGCGCCCAUAACUGUUCCGUGAAAUGGGCUACGGGUGGGGUUCAGUUGGUAGAACGCUCGCCUAACAUGCCCAGAGCUCUGGGUUCAGUCACCAGGACGACACAAAUUGGGGUCUGAUGGUUCACACCUGUAACCCAAGCAACUUGGGAGGUGGAGAUAGGAGGAUCAAGAUUUCAAAGUCGUCCUCAACUACAGAGUAGGUUCCAGGUCAACCUAGGCUACAGGAGACCUAUCCCAAAGGGAGUGGACGGAGGAGAGGGAUAAAGGGGAAAGAUAGCAAAGAAAGAACGAAUGUGAGGAGGAGGAGGAGCUGCUCCUUCUGUGUAUAGAGCUUUAGCAGUCUCAGCUCCACCAUGAAAAGCGUCUCUCUUCUUGCCCAAACACCCACCCACCUGGCCAGCUGUUAUCCCCCGGGAAGCUCUCCCCACUCUCCCUAGAAGUCCACAUUCUCAUUUGGGAUCCUCCUGCCCCACACAAGUGUCUGAAGUGGAAGCUGUGGGCUCUCCCCUCAGCAGUGGCUCCUCGCACACUGACCUGCCAUGGCUUCCCUCUCGCUUCCUCGACCACAGGUACUACUUGAGGCAGAGGCUGGUUUUUAUUUAUCUUUGUCCUUCAGUAGAACGUGACCGUUCUUGCCAUAAAGACCUGGCGUGUGGCCUGUGUAGGCUAUGAGGGAUUUAUUGCCCUGGUAGAUGGGAUUUCUUUUUCCUCGGUUAUACCUUCUAUUUAAUUAUUGCUGAUAUAUUGGAAAUUUUAGCUUUUAUUUUUAUCAAUCUGUGUAUACGAUAUAAAUAACUAUCUGGUUCAAAGAUUUUUUUCCUAAAAUAAGCAUUAGCCUCCAACGAGCCUCCUUCCCCUCAGCUCAUUAACCUCAUCCCCAAAGCAACAGCCUUUAGCUCUAUAGGAUGACACUUGGCUAUUAGUCUUGGAGCCUCUGAAUACUGUGCUUAUCCCGUACUUCUUGGCUCCUAAUUUAUAGGAAUGACUUGCCAACUUCCCACUAUAGAAAACCAAGUGUAAGCCAUUUCUCCUCUCCAACCAACAUGCAUACACUUGUUCACCUGUAAAGACUCACUCAGAGGAGUCACACUCACAGAUGCUGGACCAUAGGACAGGGGGACACACCUUCACCUGCAACGCCAUCAUUUCAGCAUCCUGCCUUUAUUUUGCCACUCCAGUGAGAUCAACAUCCAGCAUUUACAUUAUAAUGAAACUAUAGUUACUUAAAACUAAGCCCUGUAGUAAACCAUGGUUCCAUCUACAUUCCUGGAUAUUUCUGGGACCUCUGGACCAUCCAUCACCCUGCUUGCUUCAUUUUGGUGUUGUGGGUGGAAGUUUUGGGUCGCACCAAAAGCUUAGACCAGUUGUCUAAGUCCUUUUCCCUUCAUAGUCAUUCACACCAGCUGUCCAUCAGUUCCAUCUUGAUGGAGUCUCCCCUCUCCCCUCAUGUGGAACUCCCCCUUGUUUCCUGUUUCCAGGAUGAAAUGUCUUCACGUUGAUUCGCUACUCCUCUGGCUUACGCAACGUAAUCCCCAGUGGCUGUCUGAGAAAGAGUGGGGGUGGUAAAUAUUUGAGACUUUUUAUUUCCAGAGAUGUGCAUAUUCUAUUUUCAAACGUGGUAGCUUAUUUGGAUAGGUAUAAGACAGUAGGUAGGAAAUCAUUUCCUUUCAGAAUGGUGAUGAUGUCACUUCGUUAUCGGCUCGCUCCUGACAUCGUCGUUGAGCCGUCUGAGUCAUUCCACUUCUUAUCAUUCAUACAAACCGAGUUAUUUCGCUCUGGAAGCUUUUAAGAGUUUUCCUCCAUAGUUGUAGUAAGCAGGAUUCUAAGAUAACACCCCUUGCCCCAGUUACUUCCAGUCCUAUGUAAUUAGAAUGCAUAUAGAAACUGGGAUAUGCUUCUAGCCAUUAAUCAAGGAAGUAAUCAGAUUAAACUCCAUGAGAAAGAUAAGAGACAUGUGCUCAUGUAGCUACUUACAAUUGUAAGACUCCGUCUUAAUAUUGUAAGUCUUAGACGGGCAUGAGGGGAUUCGAAGACCAUGUCAUGCUGGAAUAAGAUCUGUAAAGCAGGCUUGUGGCAGAGGGAAUUCUGGGAGCUAAAAGCUGCCCCAAGUAAAGAAAUCACUGCAAGGAGGGCACCAGAUCUCAUUAUAGAUGGUUGUGAGCCGCCAUGUGGUUGCUGGGACUUGAACUCAGGACCUCUGGAAGAAGAGUCAGUGCUCUUAACUGCUGAGCCAUUUCUCCAGCCCCAAUGAAUUCUAUUUUCUGAGUUGUGCAACCAAUACACCAACUUGUGGUAGUCUGAAUGCAAUUGACCCCCAUAAACUCAUAUGAGGCGGCACUAUCAAGAGGUGUGACUUUGUUGUAAUAGGUAUGACCUUGCUGAAGAAAGUGUGUCUCUGUGGAGGUAGGCUUUGAGAUCUCAUCGAUGCUUAAGCCACGCCCAGUGUCUCAGACCACUUCCUGUUUCUUACGGGCCAAGAUGUAGGACUCUCAGCUCGUUCUCUAGCACCAUGUCUGCCUGCAAGCUGCCGUGUACCGCCAUAGCGAUAAUGGACUGUAGCUCUGAAAAUGUUAAGCCACCCAAAUUAAAUGUUCUUCCUUUAUAAGAGUUGUCGUGGUCAUGGUGUCUCUUCACAGCAAUAGAAACCCUAAGACAAAACUGUCUAUUUCCAUUUUGUCAUCCCAAACAGAAACUCUAUACCCACUAAGCUGUGACCUCCAUUCCUACCUGCUUCAUAAGCGACCCUCCACUGGUCCUCUUUACUACCCUAUCCACUACCAGUUCCAAAAGUUUCUGCCGUCAGUCCCUGAAUUUGUGUAGAUUUGACUAGUUCUCAGAGUUUUUUGCACUGUGGGCUUAGAAUUCUUCCUCGGAUCAGCUAAGCAAGUUGUCCUUUGUCAUCCCCCUGAGAAGUACUCUUGUCCCUGCCUUUUCUUCCCAUCCCAGCAGACUUGUGGUAGUAGUUAGAGAGGAGUUUUAGAACAGCAUGAGAUGCUUUUUAUUAAUUUUUAGAGAUGCAAAGACUUUGGGGCACACAAAAAAAAUCACAAAUACACAAAACAAAGUUACAGAAGUAGCCUGGUUGUGCUGAAAUGGUUUAUUUAAUCAUCUCCCAUGUGCUUGUCUGUCGGAAUGUGGGAUCACAUCCAUCUCCACAAAAUUCAAUGUAUGAGCAAAAAAUUCCAUUCUAUUUCUGUAAACCCGGGAACCUAGUAACUAUUGUCCAUAACUGUGAAUCAAACCGAGCCAAAGAAAAAAAUAACAACUUGUUGACAUGGGAACACCAGGAAGAAAAAUAGUCUGCCUUUAGUCCCUUUGUCAAGCUCGGGGUUGUGGGUUUUGUGUUCUGUUUUGUUUUGUUCCUUACAGCAUCAACUCAGAUAUAGAAAUUUCCUUAAAAGGGGAUCAGGAGACACAGUCCGUUGUCACAGGAGCUGCACACGAAGUGAACUUGGCAUGACCUCAUUGCUCUGUGUCUGUGACGUCAUCAUAUUCCUGCUCCCUAGGUGCGUGCCGUCCUUCCCCCAGGUACGCUGGUUGGGUUUUUCAUGCAGAGGGCCUUUUCCUCUUUGCAUUUUCCACUCAGCCUGAUGCAGAGUGUCAGGCUUGUGGUAUUAACCGGCCUGUUCCCUUUUCUGUCCCAGUAAGCUACCACGAGCUGGUGUCUACUCAUUCUUCAGCAAGCACCAGCUGACAGAGAACUGCUCAGUGUGAAAAGAAGAGGAACGUCAGAGCACUCUGGGCCAAGUUCAAAGACUGGAGGGAGAGGUGACUGUGGCCACAGUAGAUGGCUGUGAAGGUGAAGGGAGAAUGCAGAUUCAAGACACAUUCAGGAAAUCAGCCAUGGAACUUGCUAUUGAAUUAUGUACUUGAAGAGAGACAUGAAAUAAAAAAAAAUCAAUCCAUCAUAAAUGACUACUAGACUUACCGUAACAUCGUGACCAUUUAUGAGUUGGGAAUAAAUUACUUAGAAGACACUUUA